rnacentral:rRNA from 1 species
UACGAGUGCUCCAAGCGUUAUCCGGAAUCAUUGGGCGUAAAGGGUGUGUAGGCGGUCUUGUUAGUCUUCUGUCAAACCUUCCGGCUUAACCGGAAUCUGCAGAGGAAACGGCAAGACUCGAGGAUGCGAGAGGUGAAUGGAACUCAUAGUGUAGGGGUGAAAUCCGUUGAUAUCAUGGGGAACGCCAAAAGCGAAGGCAGCAAACUGGCACAUAUCUGACGCUGAGACACGAAAGCGUGGGUAGCG